rnacentral:rRNA from 1 species
UACGUAGGGUGCAAGCGUUGUCCGGAAUUAUUGGGCGUAAAGAGCUCGUAGGCGGUUUGUCGCGUCGGCUGUGAAAGCCCGGAGCUCAACUCCGGGUCUGCAGUCGAUACGGGCAGACUUGAGUGUUGCAGGGGAGACUGGAAUUCCUGGUGUAGGCGGUGAAAUGCGCAGAUAUCAGGAGGAACACCGGUGGCGAAGGCGGUUCUCUGGGCAUGUCCUGACGUGAGGAGCGAAAGUGUGGGGAGCGAACAGG